CGUUAGUGUGUUAUUUAUUCUGACCGUGCAGCGCUUUCCAACACUGUCAGCUGUUCGCAAACAAAAAAAGUGCGCAGCCGAUCAAUAGUUUAAAACAUUUAGAUUUACUGAAUAUUAGUCACUUUAUGGACUGCUGUGGCGGCGAAGAACGCAACGAAAGCAUUUACAACAUGCUCCAGGCCAUUGUCGACUCGAAAGUAAUCAACGUGCAGUUGUUUACGAUUGCCGUGGGAAUUUUCUUUGUUGUGCUGCUGCUGAAGAACAAUUUCCGCAGCUUUUCGGGCACAUGACUCGAAGCAGAUUGGACCAAACACCAACUAGAUGUUCUGCUGGCUGCCGCAAUGUAGUGUUUAAUUUAUAUAAUAAUGUAAUGUACGCAUUGUAGCUAAGUAUUAAUAAUAAUUGUCUCAAGCGGAGCUUCUGUUUACAGUUCAAAGGGUGGCGUGGCAGAAUUUUCCCCCCUUGGCAGUGACGUCACACCCUAUCCCCCAUUGCCGUGCCCGUAUUUGUGUAACCAAAUGUGUACACAUAUUCAUGCGUGGCUGUCUCAGGGUCAUCGUUCUGGCCCGAUAUAAUGCAUAAUAAUUGUAUUUGAAGGCCAACUGGACUGGUUUGACUACACAGCCCCCGAAAUUUCUAUGGGAUAUGCUAAAAAAAAAACGAAACUCCCCAGCGAAAAAAACACUCGUAAGCACCACUCGACAAAUCGUCAAUUUCAUCAUUAGGUGGUGGGAGGUGUGUGUGAUUCACGGCACUUUUGAUUCUAUUUCUGAUUCUUUGCCUAAUGAUAAGCAUUUAACGUUUCAAGUCAAACAUCAGACACCAUCGAUGUGUACUUUUAAUUAGCUUGAUUCUGGUGAACUUUUGGCCCAAUUCUUAGUACCUCCAAUCGACAG
rnacentral:lncRNA from 1 species